CUCACCAACCAGCUCAACCACAUCUUCCUAGAAGUGAAGAGUUUCAGUUUCUCAACCCAACCCCUGUUCCUCUGGAACUGGAGAAAAAACUCAGUGAAGCAAAAUCAAGACACGACUCCAUCACAGGGAGCCUGAAAAAAUUCAAAGACCAACUCCAGGCUGAUAGGAAAAAAGAUGAAAACAGAUUCUUCAAAAGCAUGAAUAAAAAUGACAUGAAGAGCUGGGGCUUGUUACAGAAAAAUAAUCAUAAAAUGAACAAAACCUCAGAGCCCGGGUCAUCUUCUGCAGGUAAGAGUCCUGUCUCUGAAUACUAAGGGACCUCUAAGUCUACAGGUGGUCAAAAUGCUGUAUCCACCCAAUUCCACUAAAUGGAAUAAAUGAAUAAAUGAAUGAAUUCAUUUAUUCCAUUUCCUCAGUUCCUCCCCAAAUUACACCUCUGCCAGGAAACAGAGGGCGCUCCGACUUGUUCAGGUGUACUUUCUUGAGUUUCACCUCCAUCCCUCCUGCUGUAUGUAGA
rnacentral:lncRNA from 1 species